rnacentral:miRNA from 1 species
UGCCUGCUGUACUGAUAAUCA